rnacentral:rRNA from 1 species
CGGACGGGUGAGUAACGCGUAAAGAACUUGCCCUUUAGACUGGGAUAACAGAGGGAAACUUCUGAUAAUACUGGAUAAGUUAGUAUAUCGCAUGAUAUGCAAAUGAAAGCUACGGCACUAAAGGAGAGCUUUGCGUCCUAUUAGCUAGUUGGUAAGGUAAGAGCUUACCAAGGCGAUGAUAGGUAGCCGGCCUGAGAGGGUGGACGGCCACAAGGGGACUGAGAUACGGCCCAGACUCCUACGGGAGGCAGCAGGA